UACAGAGGGGGCAAGCGUUGUUCGGAAUUACUGGGCGUAAAGGGCGCGUAGGUGGCCUUCUAAGUUGAACGUGAAAUCCCUGGGCUCAACCCAGGAACUGCGUCCAAGACUGGGAGGCUUGAAUCCGGGAGAGGGAUGCGGAAUUCCAGGUGUAGCGGUGAAAUGCGUAGAUAUCUGGAGGAACACCGGUGGCGAAGGCGGCAUCCUGGACCGACACUGACACUGGAGGAGCAGAACGCCAGGGGAGCAAACGGG
rnacentral:rRNA from 1 species